GGCGAACGGGUGAGUAACACGUGAGUAACCUGCCCACAACUUUGGGAUAACGCUAGGAAACUGGUGCUAAUACUGGAUAUGUGCUCCUGCUGCAUGGUGGGGGUUGGAAAGCUCCGGCGGUCGUGGAUGGACUCGCGGCCUAUCAGCUUGUUGGUGGGGUAGUGGCCUACCAAGGCGGCGACGGGUAGCCGGCCUGAGAGGGUGACCGGCCACAUUGGGACUGAGAUACGGCCCAG
rnacentral:rRNA from 1 species